rnacentral:rRNA from 1 species
AGAGUUUGAUCAUGGCUCAGGAUGAACGCUGGCGGCGUGCUUAACACAUGCAAGUCGAGCGGAGAUUUUGAGAAGCUUGCUUUUUGAAAUCUUAGCGGCGGACGGGUGAGUAACGUGUGGGCAACCUGCCUUAUACUGUGGAAUAAUCACUUGAAAAGGUGACUAAUACCGCAUGUGGUCAUUGGAAGGCAUCUUCUGAUGAAGAAAGGAUUUAUUCGGUAUAAGAUGGGCCCGCAUCUGAUUAGCUAGUUGGUGAGAUAACAGCCCACCAAGGCGACGAUCAGUAGCCGACCUGAGAGGGUGAUCGGCCACAUUGGGACUGAGACACGGCCCAAACUCCUACGGGAGGCAGCAGUGGGGAAUAUUGCACAAUGGGGGAAACCCUGAUGCAGCAACGCCGCGUGAAGGAAGACGGUUUUCGGAUUGUAAACUUCUAUCGMUGGGGAAGAAAGAAAUGACGGUAUCCAAAUAAGAAGCCCCGGCUAACUACGUGCCAGCAGCCGCGGUAAUACGUAGGGGGCAAGCGUUAUCCGGAAUUACUGGGUGUAAAGGGAGCGUAGGCGGURUGGUAAGUAAGAUGUGAAAGCCUCGGGCUUAACCUGAGGAUUGCAUUUUAAACUAUCAAACUAGAGUACAGGAGAGGAAAGCGGAAUUCCUAGUGUAGCGGUGAAAUGCGUAGAUAUUAGGAAGAACACCGGUGGCGAAGGCGGCUUUCUGGACUGUAACUGACGCUGAGGCUCGAAAGCGUGGGGAGCGAACAGGAUUAGAUACCCUGGUAGU